rnacentral:rRNA from 1 species
AGAGUUUGAUCCUGGCUCAGGACGAACGCUGGCGGCGUGCUUAACACAUGCAAGUCGAGCGGUAAGGCCUCUUCGGGGGUACACGAGCGGCGAACGGGUGAGUAACACGUGGGUGACCUGCCCUCAGCUCUGGGAUAAGCCUGGGAAACUGGGUCUAAUACUGGAUAUUCACUUCUCAUCGCAUGGUGGGUGGUGGAAAGUUUUUUCGGCUGGGGAUGGGCCCGCGGCCUAUCAGCUUGUUGGUGGGGUGAUGGCCUACCAAGGCGACGACGGGUAGCCGGCCUGAGAGGGCGUCCGGCCACACUGGGACUGAGACACGGCCCAGACUCCUACGGGAGGCAGCAGUGGGGAAUAUUGCGCAAUGGGCGGAAGCCUGACGCAGCGACGCCGCGUGGGGGAUGACGGCCUUCGGGUUGUAAACCUCUUUCGACCGGGACGAAGCGUGAGUGACGGUACCGGUAGAAGAAGCACCGGCCAACUACGUGCCAGCAGCCGCGGUAAUAC